AAACUUUACAAUGCACGAAAGUGUGAUAAGGGAAUCCGGAGUGCUUACUUUCGAGUAGGCUUUUCUUAAGUGUAAGUAGCUUGAGGAAUAAGUGGUGGGCAAGACCGGUGCCAGCAGCCGCGGUAACACCGGCGCCACUAGUGGCAAUCGCGAUUAUUGGGCCUAAAGCGUCCGUAGCCGAUUUGAUAAAUCUCUUGUGAAAUUGUUGGACUUAAUUCAACAGAUUGCUGGAGAGACUGUCAGGUUAGAGACCGGGAAGAGGUAGAGGUAUUCCUUGGGUAGCGGUAAAAUGUGUUAAUCCUUGGAGGACCACCAAUGGCGAAGGCAUCUAUCUAGAACGGGUCUGACGGUGAGUGGACGAAAGCUGGGAGAACGAUCGGG
rnacentral:rRNA from 1 species